UGGGGAAUAUUACACAAUGGGCGCAAGCCUGAUGCAGCCAUGCCGCGUGUGUGAAGAAGGCCUUCGGGUUGUAAAGCACUUUCAGCGGGGAGGAAGGCGUUAAGGUUAAUAACCUUGGCGAUUGACGUUACCCGCAGAAGAAGCACCGGCUAACUCCGUGCCAGCAGCCGCGGUAAUACGGAGGGUGCAAGCGUUAAUCGGAAUUACUGGGCGUAAAGCGCACGCAGGCGGUCUGUCAAGUCGGAUGUGAAAUCCCCGGGCUUAACCUGGGAACUGCAUUCGAAACUGGCAGGCUAGAGUCUUGUAGAGGGGGGUAGAAUUCCAGGUGUAGCGGUGAAAUGCGUAGAGAUCUGGAGGAAUACCGGUGGCGAAGGCGGCCCCCUGGACAAAGACUGACGCUCAGGUGCGAAAGCGUGGGGAGCAAACAGG
rnacentral:rRNA from 1 species